GUGUCAGCCGCCGCGGUAAGACGAGGGGUCCUAGCGUUGUUCGGAAUCACUGGGCGUAAAGCGCAUGUAGGCGGCUUGAUAAGUCAGGUGUGAAAGCCCUGGGCUCAACCCAGGAAGUGCAUCUGAUACUGUUGAGCUUGAGUAUGAGAGAGGGUAGUAGAAUUCCAGGUGUAGUGGUGAAAUACGUAGAUAUCUGGAGGAAUACCGGUGGCGAAGGCGGCUACCUGGCUCAAUACUGACGCUUAGAUGCGAAAGCGUGGGGAUCAAACAGGAUUAGAUACCCUGGUAGUCC
rnacentral:rRNA from 1 species